UGGGUGUGUAAGCGUUGUGAGGCGUUGAGCUAACCAGUACUAAUUGCCCGUGAGGCUUGACCAUAUAACACCCAAACA
rnacentral:rRNA from 2 species